rnacentral:tRNA from 1 species
GGUCCCCUAGCUCAGCUGGCAGAGCAAUUGACUCUUAAUCAAUGGGUCGAGGGUUCGAAUCCCUCGGGGAUCACCA